rnacentral:rRNA from 1 species
GGUGAACGCUGGCGGCGGGCCUAAUACAUGCAAGUCGAGCGAACAUACGGGGGUCUGUCUCCUCUGACGUUAUCGGCGGACGGGAGGGUAACACAUGGAUAACCUACCUCUAGGACUGUUAUAACUUUGGGAAACGUGCCCUACUACGGGAUAAUAUAUUGAACCUCAUGGUUCAAGAGUGAGAGACGGUUGUUCUGUGACGUAUUGAUUGAUCCGCGCCGCAUUAGCUAGUUGGUAAGGUAACGGGUUACCAAGGCAACGAUGCGUAGCCGACCUGAGAGGGUGAUCGGCCACACUGGAACUGAGACACGGCCCAGACUCCUACGGGAGGCAGCAGUAGGGAAUCUUACGCAAUGGGCGAAAGCCUGACGGAGCAACGCCGCGUGAGUGAUGAAGGUCUUAGGAUCGUAAAACUCUGUUAUUAGGGAAGAACAAAUGUGUAAGCAACUAUGACCGUCUUGACGGUACCCAAUCAGAAAGCCACGGCUAACUACGUG